CUAGAGGUUGCGGAGCAGUCGUGCUCUGGCUGCACGUAACGAUCAUUUUCGGA
rnacentral:lncRNA from 1 species